ensembl:lncRNA
GCAGAAUUAAGGACAUUUCAACUUUUCAUACUGCUCUGCUAGUGAGGGGAGCUAAGGAGGCACAGGGAUCUGAAAGGAGAGAGAACCAUGACAACUGACCUAAACUGGCCAAAGGAACAUUCCAUACCAUAUGAAACCAUGGGAAAUAAAACUUUAAAACUGUGAGGGUUUAGUCAGGCAGAAACCUCAACUUGAGGACUCGCUGGGCACUGGUUGAUGACUGGGAACUUCAAGGUACCCAGGUAAAUAAUGCAAUCUGAACUUUCCUGUGAAGGAUGCUGCAGACCACACUGCUCAUUUUUCCAGCCAUGCUGUCUUCAUCUGAAAUGUCACUCACCAAAUACUGGAAACAAUAGAGAUGACAACUCCAGUGUGCUGAAUGCAACCUGCUGUUGUUACUACCUGUGGGCAAGAUACAGUACAGGCUGGUUUCAGAACUAUGCCAUGAGAAUGGAAGACCAGCUGCCAGGACGUGUUCUGCUGCCAUAAGUAUUGGAAGUUUGCAAUGAUGUCUCUUCGGAGCCUUCUCUUCUCCAAGGUAAACAAGCGCAUCUCCCUCAGCCUUGCUUUGUAAGACAGAUGCUUCAGACCUCUUCAUCAUCUUCAUGGACCUCUUCUGGACCCACUCCAACAGCUCCAUGUAUUUCUUGGACAGGGAGCCCCAGGCCUGGACACAAUACUCCAGAUGGGUCCUCACAAGGGCAGAGUAGAGGGGGACAAUUGCCUCUCACUCCCUACUGGCCCCCUCUUUUUGAUGCAGACCAGGUUAAAAUAG